rnacentral:tRNA from 1 species
GCGGGUAUGGUGAAAUUGGUAGACACGCCAGACUUAGGAUCUGGUGCGCAAGGUGUGUAGGUUCGAGUCCUAUUACCCGCA